rnacentral:lncRNA from 1 species
GCUGGAAUCAUAGUCAAAACUCACCGGAAGAGAGGUAAAAAUCCCAGAAACUAUUAGCAAAUCUUUCUUCCCAUCCUUCUAAACCCAUAGAAGCUUUGAUUCUAGCUAGUUAUCAUUAGAUUUUUCUUCAAAAAUCAACUAUUCAAAAUUUUCCUAUUUUUUCAUGAAAUUUUAUGGAUUUUUGGUGUUGAUUAUUGUUGCCAAUCAUUGGGAG